CCUACGGGAGGCAGCAGUAGGGAAUCUUCCACAAUGGGCGAAAGCCUGAUGGAGCAACGCCGCGUGGGUGAAGAAGGUCUUCGGAUCGUAAAACCCUGUUGUUAGAGAAGAAAGUGCGUGAGCGUAACUGUUCACGUUUCGACGGUAUCUAACCAGAAAGCCACGGCUAACUACGGGCCAGCAGCCGCGGUAAUACGUAGGUGGCAAGCGUUAUCCGGAUUUAUUGGGCGUAAAGGGAACGCAGGCGGUCUUUUAAGUCUGAGGUGAAAGCCUUCGGCUUAACCGGAGUAGUGCAUUGGAAACUGGGAGACGUGAGUGCAGAAGAGGAGAGUGGAACUCCAUGUGUAGCGGUGAAAUGCGUAGAUAUAUGGAAGAACACCAGUGGCGAAAGCGGCUCUCUGGUCUGUAACUGACGCUGAGGUUCGAAAGCGUGGGUAGCAAACAGGAUUAGAUACCCUGGUAGUC
rnacentral:rRNA from 1 species